rnacentral:tRNA from 1 species
ACCGAAAUAGCUCAGUUGGCUCAGAGCGUUAGAUUAUAGACCGAAAGUCCCUGGUUCGAUCCCGGGUUCCGGAA